rnacentral:ncRNA from 1 species
GAACUGAGAGUAGGGGGAGUGGACAUUUUUGUGAAGUUGCAAUGUGAGUUGCACUGGAAGAAUGUCUAUUACAGAUCCUAAUUGAAGUAGCGAUUAUCCAGGCUUGUAUCCUGGGGGCUGAUGAGGAGUAGGGUUUCUGGACACUUAAAACAGAUCCAGAGUUAGUCGAUCCUAAUCUCAUAAUGGGAGAAAGGGAGUACAGUUGAUAUUCUGUAACUGACAACAGUUCGCGGCAACGCAUACUAUUUUUCUCCGCCAAUCUUAUACCGUUGGUAGGGAUCUCUUUCCUACAUGACAGUACUAAUACCCAGGGAAACUGGUCAUCAGGCGAACUGCGGCGUUCUGCUGGCAAAACAUAGCUUCGGUUAUGUCAAUGGCUAUUGGAUUGGUCCAUGAAGCGAAAAAUAGUUUACUGUGUCACUCGUACCGAUAACCGCAUCAGGUCUUCUAGGUAAGUAGCCUAUGGCCAUUGAGGCAUGAUAGUUCAGGGAAUUCGGCCAAUUAGAGCUGUAACUUCGGGAUAAAGCUUGGCUCUGAUGAAAAUCAGAACCGAUUGUUACGCGGAGAGCCCAACUGUUUAAUAAAAACGUAGUGUCGCGCUGUGGUAGUAUAGCCAGUGAACGCGACAUGAAUCCUGCUCAGUGCUGUGUCUGUUAAUAUGGUUCAAGCCAACGAAGCACCGGUAAAUAGCUGGGGUAACUAUGACUCUUAUCAAAGUAGCGAAAUACCUCGUCACUUAAUUAGUGACCUGCAUGAACGGAGCUAUGAGGUUCUCACUGUCCCAAACUGUCUCUCAGCGAACCAACUGUAGUGGGAACGGUCACUAGAUAUCCAGCGGGGAAAGAAGACC